GGAAAGAUGCAGGAGUGGUUUAACUGGCACGCCUGGAGAGCGUGUGUACGUGAAAGCGUACCGAGAGUUCGAAUCUCUCUCUUUCCGCGA
rnacentral:tRNA from 8 species